rnacentral:rRNA from 1 species
UGACCGGUUCCAAGGUAGCAUAAUCAUUUGUCUUUUAAUUAAAGGCUUGUAUGAAUGGUUGGAUGAGAUAUAAUCUAUUUUUAUUUAAUUAAAAAUGAAUUUUAAUUUUUAGUAAAAAUGCUAAAAUAAAAAAUAUAGACGAGAAGACCCUAUAAAUCUUUAUUAUUUUUUUAUUAAUUUAUUAAUAGAAUAAAAAAUUUAUUAAUAAAACAAUAAUUUUAUUGGGGUGAUAAUGAAAUUUAAUAAACUUUUAUUUUAUUUUAUAAAUAUAAUUAAUUUAAUGAUCCAUUUUUAAUGAUUAUAAAAUUAAGUUACUUUAGGGAUAACAGCGUAAUUAUUUUAAAGAGUUCAUAUCGAUAAAAUAGUUUGCGACCUCGAUGUUGAAUUAAGAGUAAGUUUAGGUGUAGA